rfam:Trichobilharzia regenti genome assembly, scaffold: TRE_scaffold0022139
AUCCAGCUGACCAGUCCCAAAUAGGACGAAAUGCGCAUGCUGGCUGGAU